UUAUAUAUUAUUUAUAUAAUAUGAUAUAUUCUCGAAAUUAAUUAUCUUUUGUUUCUGGUAUCAAACGAUCCCUGGAAUGUCUGCAUCAUGUCCCUCUAUUCCUUCGACCCUUAUUAACACUUCCUUCUCCUGGCAAGGUCUCUUACCACUAUUAUGAUAGCGCAUUAAUUAUAAUUUUCAUGUAAAGUUAAAGAUCGCCAAACAAUUCAAAAAACUAGAUUGUGGUCCUAACCUAUGUUAUAGUAAAACAUUUGUGUAGUUGAAUCUGGAAUUUCCUUAUAAUUGUGGUCUCCUUUGCUAGCCAUGUGUCCAUAUUCCCAGUAGAAAAAGUUAAAUUGAUCACAUAUGGAGCACCUUUUUUAAUUUCUUAGCAAAACAAUUCAAGAUAAAUAUUCAAUAUAUGAUAGAAAUUAUAUAAAAGAGAGUUAAUUCAGAACUGGAGAAAAUAUGAUAUUCUAAUAAUAAUUAAGAAACAAAGCAGGUUGAGAAAGAUAAUGAUUUCUAAAUGCCAACAUACAUUGAAAAAAGAAAGAGGAGAGGAAUCUCGAAAAUGAAUAAGCAAGUGUAAUAUGUGAAGGAUUGCAGUGGAAUAAUUGGAAUCAAUCCACUCUUAAUCAGAGGUCACAAUUGAAAAUUAAAAACUUUUUAAUAAGGAGUGUUUUACCCCUCAUAGGAGAUCUUUCCAGUACGACUCUAUAUUAAUCAGAUCAAUGAAUUCCCAAUAUCGAAUGGUUCCAAAAAUAUUGAUAAUCUGGUGCGCUAGGAUAUGAAUUUAUUUUUGGAAAAAAUAGAGCAAUUAAUCCACGUUGAAUCUAGAUCAAAAAUUAACUCAAGAGGUGGUCUUUUUUUUCCCCCUAGAUCCUCCAAACAUAUCUUAUAAUAGUGAAAGAACGAUUUUAUUUCAUCGAUUAUAUAGUUAAUCUUGAAUUCUUAACUAAUUUUGCAUUGAAAUAUACUAUCAUGCACGUUCGUACGUUCAAUUCUAGAACCUUAGUGUAAAGGGAACAUUGAAGGUGUCUCUUUCUCUCCAGUUUGAUUUGCAAGGUCAUCAGCCUAGCUAGUCCUACUAUAUAAUCUUAAACUAAAAAUAAAUGGCAAAUAUAU
rnacentral:lncRNA from 1 species